rnacentral:rRNA from 1 species
AGCCGAGCGGUAUAGAUUCUUCGGAAUCUAGAGAGCGGCGUACGGGUGCGGAACACGUGUGCAACCUACCUUUAUCAGGGGGAUAGCCUUUCGAAAGGAAGAUUAAUACCCCAUAAUAUAUUGACUGGCAUCAGUCGAUAUUGAAAACUCCGGUGGAUAGAGAUGGGCACGCGCAAGAUUAGAUAGUUGGUAGGGUAACGGCCUACCAAGUCAGUGAUCUUUAGGGGGCCUGAGAGGGUGAUCCCCCACACUGGUACUGAGACACGGACCAGACUCCUACGGGAGGCAGCAGUGAGGAAUAUUGGACAAUGGGUGAGAGCCUGAUCCAGCCAUCCCGCGUGAAGGACGACGGCCCUAUGGGUUGUAAACUUCUUUUGUAUAGGGAUAAACCUACUCUC